AUUGACCUCGGAUCAGGUAGGGAUACCCGCUGAACUUAAGCAUAUCAAUAAGCGGAGGAAAAAGAAACCAACAGGGAUUGCCUCAGUAACGGCGAGUGAGG
rnacentral:rRNA from 1 species